UGAUGAGUCACAUUUUACAGAGGCUUAC
rnacentral:piRNA from 1 species